UGAAGGCUGUUUUGCCACAAGAUGGCGAUCUUCAGAUCAAUGUCAAAGCCGCCCAAGGCGAGGGGAGCAGCCCUGCAAAAAAAAAAAAAAAAAAAAAAAAAAAAUCUUGGCCUUUGUUCAUUUUGCAUCCCUGGAGCCGCACGGAUAAUUAUUUCACUUACCGGGCUCCGCGUUACAAAAAGCCGCUCGGGAUGCCGGGGGAGGGGAGGGAGCUGCUGGGGCUUCCCGGUGGAGUUAAAGCCUCUGGGCUUUGGGUUGGAACAUGAGCGGAGGGAACUGCUGCAAGUGUAGUUAAAAGCACAUGCUCAGUCGGUAGAGAGCUGUUUUGAAAUGCUUUCGGAACCGAUCGAUUUCAUCAGAGAUGCUGCAUUAAAAGCUCGGGAAUGUUUAUCUCUUUGACCUCCCCUCAGCAGUGCCAAGAAGUGAGAAGCAACGUCUCGGAAAAUAGCAGGGUUAUGGGGUCUACCCAAGUCACUGGUCACUACGGGCUGCUCAGAAGGAAACCGCGCUGUGAUGCUCUCCCCACCUCACUGGAAAAAACAGGCGCCUUUGCAUAAGGAUUUUAUGGGUGUUGCAAAGUAGUAGGUAGAAGCCUCCGCCCGCUCCCCCUGCGCUCUCAGCGAGCACGGAGGGAGGCUGAGGAGGACCCCUCCGGCUCGGCAGGCCGAGGGAAGGGACACUCACCUCCUACCGUAAGGCGGAGGGGGGAGGAAUUCUCCGGGGGAAUGUCACGCCGCGGGAAAAGCGUUUUCCCGUGGCAGGCACACACUGCAGGGCAAGACCACGUGGGAGCUUAACAGAACCGUGGGGUGGAGGGGAACGGUUGCUCCUCGGGGCGGCUUGAAAUCUGAGGGCUGUCACCAGGGAUGCUGGGCCCACCGCCCGCUCCACCGCCGCCCCGCCCGCAGGCAGCGGCCCCGCCGCCGCCGCCAGCGCCCUCUUGGGCAUG